rnacentral:rRNA from 1 species
AUUGAACGCUGGCGGCAGGCCUAACACAUGCAAGUCGAGCGGUAGAGAGAAGCUUGCUUCUCUUGAGAGCGGCGGACGGGUGAGUAAUGCCUAGGAAUCUGCCUGGUAGUGGGGGAUAACGCUCGGAAACGGACGCUAAUACCGCAUACGUCCUACGGGAGAAAGCAGGGGACCUUCGGGCCUUGCGCUAUCAGAUGAGCCUAGGUCGGAUUAGCUAGUUGGUGAGGUAAUGGCUCACCAAGGCGACGAUCCGUAACUGGUCUGAGAGGAUGAUCAGUCACACUGGAACUGAGACACGGUCCAGACUCCUACGGGAGGCAGCAGUGGGGAAUAUUGGACAAUGGGCGAAAGCCUGAUCCAGCCAUGCCGCGUGUGUGAAGAAGGUCUUCGGAUUGUAAAGCACUUUAAGUUGGGAGGAAGGGUAUUAACCUAAUACGUUAGUGUUUUGACGUUACCGACAGAAUAAGCACCGGCUAACUCUGUGCCAGCAGCCGCGGUAAUACAGAGGGUGCAAGCGUUAAUCGGAAUUACUGGGCGUAAAGCGCGCGUAGGUGGUUCGUUAAGUUGGAUGUGAAAUCCCCGGGCUCAACCUGGGAACUGCAUUCAAAACUGUCGAGCUAGAGUAUGGUAGAGGGUGGUGGAAUUUCCUGUGUAGCGGUGAAAUGCGUAGAUAUAGGAAGGAACACCAGUGGCGAAGGCGACCACCUGGACUGAUACUGACACUGAGGUGCGAAAGCGUGGGGAGCAAACAGG